CCCUUAGAUGUUCUGGGCCGCACGCGUGCUACACUGAUAUUGCCAAUAUGUCAUUCUUAUCCGAAAUGGAUUGGGUAAUCAAGUAAUGAAAUUUCAUGCUUGGAAUCGGUAAUUGCAAUUUUAUCGUGAACGAGGAAUUCCUAGUAAGCACUAGUCAUCAGCUAAUGUUGAUUAUGUCCCUGCCCUUUGUACACACCGCCCGUCGCUACUACUGAUUGGGUGUUCAAGUGAGAUGCUUAGACCCUUGUUGCAUGGUUCAUUAUUGUGCUCCGAAAGGAAAAAGUUUCAAGCUUGAGUGUCUAGAGGAAGUAAAAGGCGUAACA
rnacentral:rRNA from 1 species